CGGGGUGUAGCGCAGUCCGGUUAGCGCACCUGCUUCGGGAGCAGGGGGUCGGCGGUUCGAAUCCGCCCACCCCGACCA
rnacentral:tRNA from 3 species